rnacentral:rRNA from 1 species
CCUACGGGAGGCAGCAGUGGGGAAUAUUGGGCAAUGGGCGCAAGCCUGACCCAGCAACGCCGCGUGAAGGAAGAAGGCUUUCGGGUUGUAAACUUCUUUUAUGAGGGACGAAAGAAAUGACGGUACCUGAUGAAUAAGCCACGGCUAACUACGUGCCAGCAGCCGCGGUAAUACGUAGGUGGCAAGCGUUAUCCGGAUUUACUGGGUGUAAAGGGCGUGUAGGCGGGACUGCAAGUCAGAUGUGAAAAUUAUGGGCUCAACCCAUAACCUGCAUUUGAAACUGUAGUUCUUGAGUGAUGGAGAGGCAGACGGAAUUCCGAGUGUAGCGGUGAAAUGCGUAGAUAUACGGAGGAACACCAGUGGCGAAGGCGGCCUGCUGGACAUUAACUGACGCUGAGGCGCGAAAGCGUGGGGAGCAAACAGGAUUAGAUACCCGAGUAGUC